AGAAAAUCUUCUAAUUCAAAUUCCUUCCUGAGGUUAAGGAGCACGCAGAUGGAAGACUAAAGAAGCUAUGAGAAGGAAAGAAAAAACAUGUCAAUUAUCUGAACAAGCAACUCAACAGUCAUUAACAUUUCGAGACAGGCCUCAACAAGCUCUGCUUCUGUCUCCUUCACUUUGUUGACAAACAUCUGCCUCAUCUCUUCCUCUUUGCGCUGAAGCUCCACAAUGAACUCCUUCCUCUUGGCUUCGUAUGUCUCCUGAAGGCUGAGGACCGGUAUAAAAGCAAAGUUUAGCUCCGGAUGGACAGGAUUAGCUGGCUGCGUCAGCUGUUUGUAAAUUCAAUCUUAGUUUGCUUGUAAUAUUAAUGUCUACAAGGUAGUAAAUUUAUGUCACAAACACACGA